GGCUGUUUGGUCCAUCUGGCCUGAGUGCUGAGUGCCUCAGCCGAGCUAGUGUGACAUUGUUUACAAGCCGGGGUGGACGGUUGCACGCAUACAUUCGAUAAAUUUUGUAUUCAGUGUUUUUAGUGCUUGUAACUGCUAAAUAAGCCACCAUGGGCCCAAAGAAAGCUUUUAGUGCUAACCCUUUGGUAAAAAGGGUGAGCAAUACUAUCAUACCAUGGUCUGCUGCUGCUGUAGACCGUCAGCUGCUGCUGCUGUACCAUGGUCAGCUGCUGCUGCUGCUGUAGCAGCACCGUCAGCUGCUGCUGCACCAUGGUCAGCUGUACUACUUGAAGAUGUGGAGAGACUGUUAUUGGUGUGGCUUAUUGAGAAUACUGAGAAACAAUUAACCCCAGAGGGUUAGCCACCCAGGAUAACCCAAGAAAGUCAGUGUGUCAUCGAGGACUGUAACUUAUUUUCAUUGGGGUCCUUAACCUUGUCCCCCAGGAUACGACCCACACCAGUUGGCUAACACCCAGGUGAACAGGAAAAAAUGCCUGGAACUAGUGCUCAUAUUGGUGAAUUUAAGGCCAGCAAAGGUUGAUGUGAGAGAUUUAAGAUUUGUAGUGGCAGAAAUGGAAGAAAAUGCCAAAUAGGACCUACAUUACUCAGGAGGAAAAGGCACUUCUAGGACAUAGUGUCUCAUCACUACAUCUUCAAUAAAGUGGAUAUUGUGUGUUGCUGUAUCAACAUGUGAGGACCAAGACUGUUCAACAUGUAACCAGAAACACUGCUGGGACAAGUGUAGAAGUCUUCAAGAGGAAACUAGACAAGUAUCUUCACCAGGCUGUGAUGGAGUGGAUCAGUGGGUCACUAGCAGCAACAUCCUGAUUGAGCAGACAAGUGCCAGAUGAGCCUGACCUAUGGAUGGGCUCAAGGGGUAGAAAAACUCAAAUUCAUCAGAGGUUAAGAAACUGUCCAUCUCCCACCGAGGUAGAGUGACCCAAAGAAGUGCUUUUACCAUCAGUCUUACCAGAGUGGCGCUGAUAUUACACCUCAAAACUACAAAUGUCUCCACCUCUCCUUCAGAAUUCAAGUGAAAUUGCUGACUUAGAAAAUGUACAGAGAACCUUCACGGCGCGCAUAACGGAGAUAAAACACCUCAAUUACUGGGAGCGCUUGAGGUUCCUAAACCUGUAUUCCCUGGAACGCAGGCGGGAGAGAUACAUGAUUAUAUACACCUGGAAAAUCCUAGAGGGACUAGUACCGAACUUGCACACCAAAAUCACUCACUACGAAAGCAAAAGACUUGGCAGACGAUGCAACAUCCCCCCAAUGAAAAGCAGAGGUGUCACUAGCACGUUAAGAGACCAUACAAUAAGUGUCAGGGGCCCGAGACUGUUCAACUGCCUCCCAGCAUACAUAAGGGGGAUUACCAACAGACCCCUCGCAGUCUUCAAGCUGGCACUGGACAAGCACCUAAAGUCGGUUCCUGACCAGCCGGGCUGUGGCUCGUACGUUGGGUUGCGUGCAGCCAGCAGCAACAGCCUGGUUGAUCAGGCUCUGAUCCACCAGGAGGCCUGGUCACAGACCGGGCCGCGGGGGCAUUGACCCCCGGAACUCUCUCCAGGUAAACUCCAGUACAAUAUAUUGCUCAACUUAUUAUAUAUAACAAAUCAGAUCUUACUCCCAAAUCAAUAUUAUAUCAUAGUGACUAUCUGUCAUUUUAACUUUGUUUAUCAUUACUUAAUUUAGUCCCUUAUAUUUUUCUCUUUUAUUUUAGCUUUAUAUAACAACCUUAGUUCUUAUAUUCACAAUUGUUAAAAUAAUCAAGGUGCUAUUCUCAGGUGCUAAAGUGUAAUAAGCUCAUUAUUUUGCCAUUAUAUUCAUUUAUUUGAUUACCACUUUUUUGUUCACCACAAAUUAUUUUAGUCCCUUUUAUAUUGCCUCAUUUAUUUUAGCUUUAAAGAGCUACCUUAGCUCAUAUUUUUUACAUUUGUUAAAAUAAUUCAGGUGCUAUCUUAUAGCUUUAGAAUAUUUACUUUGUCUUAUACUUAAUUCUAACUAUAGAUUCACUAUAAAUCUUAUGAUAACAAGCAUUGAUCCUGAUACCAACCUCUUAUCUAAUGGCUUAAAUGAAUCAAACAGUAGCUGUAAUUACUACACAGCAGAACAAUCAAAGGCACUUGUCAGAGCCAACAACAACAUAACUGUCUUUAACUACAAUAUCAAAUCUUUAAGCAAACAUUACGAUGACCUCAUAGCAUUACUAAAUUCCCUGCAUGCCAGUAUGUCCAUCAUUACUCUCGCCGAAACCUGGCUAAAGCCUGAUACUACAGAUGUCUAUGCCAUUCCUGGUUACACAGCCAUACACAACUGUAGGCCAGAUCAACAAGGGGGUGGCACAGCUAUAUACUACUCAGACCAACUAGAAUGUAUCACUAAUACUUGCACAAGGGAUGAACAUGGGGAAUAUAUAAUAGCUAAAUUCAAAUCCAAAUACCUACAAAAACCGCUCACAGGGAUAAACAUCUACAGAG